CAGUAAACUUCUAUCGUAGGAAGAAGGGUUAUACUCUAAAGUAACAGCAAAAAUCACCGUGCUGGCGCACCCCUGUAAUCCCACCACUCAGGAGGCUGAGGCAGGAGGAUCACUUCGAAUUUGAGGCCAGCCUGGGCCACGUAGUUCAAAGCCAGCUUCAACUACAUAGCAAGACCCGGUCUCAAAAGACAAACUUUUUUAAAGGAAUAACAAUAAAAAUAUAAAACAGUAAAUACAGGAACUGGUAACAUACUUCACCAUUGCCAAAUAUUCUGAGCUGUGCGGGAUGGCAGGAGCCUGACUUCUACACGACUGCAGCGUGGUAGCUUUGUCCCCGCCCCUAGGACGUCACCAGGAACUCCCCAGCUCCACCGCACUCUCGCUCUGCGGGGGGUACUGCUGAAGGAAGCGAUGCCCUGGGGGCCACUGCCCAAGUGGACCGGAAAAAACAAAUGCUAGGCACACGACGACUUGGAGCCUGCGCCCUCUGGACUGGGCCAAGGCACCGAGGGGCAUGCCCGGGUCUUCCUACGGGAGCAACAAGGCUGAAGCAGGCCAGGCACACUCCGGUCCGAGCAGCUCCCUGGAGGCCGGUCCUGCGGUGGGGAGCCCAGGCAGCCCUUGGCGCUGCCCCUCGCCAGCUGCGCAGCGUCCGGCUGUGCGAGACACGCCUGUCCCGGCUCCCGCCUGGGCCCCAGAGGAGCGCACGAGCACAGGAGCCCAGGACAGCCCCUCGGCAUGAUGGCCAAGGUGGGGCGCAACCCUGCAGGAAGGGGCAAAAAAUAAGUGCUGUGACCUCAGAGGACUUUUGGGAUGCCGCCUCCGGGAACCGGUGCCGUCUCAAGGAGGAGGAGAGACACCAUGAGACCACAGGAAGCUUCCAACACAGCCCCAGCUGACCUCCCAGACAGUGCUCUCGGUUCCCAGGGCUCUCGGUCCUCCAAGGCGGGUGCCUGCUCCAUGCAGCCUGGCUGGAGUCUGCACGUAGGGAGUGGAAGCCAGAAGCCCUUCUUGGACGUCUGCACCUCUUUCUCCUGGACCAUUUCCACUGCACUGGGGAAACUUCCACAGAACGGAGCACUGGUUCCUCUGUUCUAUUUCAGAAGCCAUGGCUUAUACUCUGCCCUCCAUGGAGCAGCUGGUUCUUUCUCAAGAGUCCUAAAGUGGAAGGAUUUAGCAUCAAAAUUCUAACCAAAACAGCACGUCAUUUCAGCAGCAGGAAGAAAAGCCUUGGAACAAUACCUAUAAAAUAAUUCUGAUUCUGUCAAAAUAAAAAUGUCCCCAGUUCUCUGUAUGCGAGUAUAUGAUUUUUGCAAA
rnacentral:lncRNA from 1 species